CAGCUCGUGGAGAGGUUAGGGCGGUGUUCCCGCUGAAAGUUUGCCCGGUGGGAGGAGCUCUUCAGGCGGACAUAAAACAGCGACAGCCCGGCCACUCGGUCCACUUCCUUCUCUGGUCUGCUCGAGAUGGUGAAGAAACAUCCAGAAACCACCUGCUGUGAAGGUGUGAGGCGGGUGUGGCUGCGUGCUCUCCAUGAGAUGUUCGAGGACGGUCCAAGAUGAAGCUCAAGCAUAAAGUCUCUUGGCAGGUUGAUCUGCCCUCCACUACUUCACUCACUCUUCAGAGCAGCUGAGGUGACAAGAGUCUGACAUGAAGUUGAAGAUGGAAGCAACAUGGAAGUCUUACAAUAGCCCUCAGGAUGGAUACCUGAAAAUGAAGACCCCCACUAAAGUCACAUGAUUAAUCACUGGCUGCAUCAGCAGGACGAUUGAGGCAUCCUCAUUGAAGGUUCCCUGGUAUCAGCCAUUUUGGAAGGCGGUGCCAUCUUCUCUGCGAUGCAGGAGUUGGUCCAGUUCAACGCUGAACUGGGAGGACGAAGUUUGUCAUUGGACUGCUGAAGCCUGAGUGCAGCAUGAAGUCAUCAGUGUCUUGAUCUCGUGCUCACUAUUGGCCAAUGUCGAGUCCAGCUGGAUCUGCUGCACCACUGUCUGCUGCUUUAGGAUGUCUGGCCAGACGGGCGCCAUCAGAUGCUGCAACAUUACUGUCUGCUGUAAAGAUCGACACAUGUCUACAUAUGUAAAAUGACUUAUUUCAAAUAAAAUGACUUUUGUACAGUUUA